rnacentral:rRNA from 1 species
UACAGAGGUCCCGAGCGUUGUUCGGAUUCAUUGGGCGUAAAGAGCUCGUAGGCGGUCUGUCGCGUCGGCUGUGAAAACUCGGGGCUCAACCCCGAGCCUGCAGUCGAUACGGGCAGACUAGAGUGCGGUAGGGGAGACUGGAAUUCCUGGUGUAGCGGUGGAAUGCGCAGAUAUCGGGAGGAACACCGGUGGCGAAGGCGGUUCUCUGGGCCUGUACUGACGCUGAGGAGCGAAAGCGUGGGGAGCGAACAGG